CUGACUGAAGAGCCUGCUUCAUACCCACAAUGACCUGGGAGCCUUCAGACAGCUCUCCACGGUGGCCAUGUUCUCUGCCUCCUUCCUAUUCACUUCCUCUGCUACAGAAAUGAACACACCGUUUAUCUCAAGAGCGGUCAACUUGUAUUUCUUGCUUGCUUGCUUUGGUUGAAACAGGGUCUCUGUUACUCCAGCUGCCCUGGAACGCACUGAAAUCCAUCUGCCUCUGCCUCCCGAGUGCUGGGAUUAAAGUGUGUGAUACCCUACCUGGCUGACCUUCCUUUCCCAGAGGCCACACCUGGCGACCUCAGGGGCAACGUGAAAACCAACAUGCAACGGAGAGCAAUAACGAACAGCAACAGCCAAUCGGCAACAGAGAAUGAGACCGGCAGCAGCCAAUCAGCUUCCAGUUUCAGACGGGACCACCCGCAGCACCCUAUCAGCGUUCAAUCUCUAAAGCAGAAGUUUUUAAACUUGAGUAAUGAAGUAGUGGCUUGAAGCGACAAUCUCCUCCGGGAGGGAGCAUCUCCACCCUAUUUCCUUAGCAAUAUCGUGGCCGAAGCACUGAGCACCAGAAGAAGCCAAAAAGGACACAUCUUUGUGGACACAGGAGAAGGGGGGGAAGUCUUUAUUGGCCUGAAUCUCCUAACACUGGCAUGAUUUUAGGAUUUGACUUUGGGGUGUCAGUGAGCAAGCCCCACUCCACUGAAGGUCUACUAGUCCUUGAGGACCCAGAGAAUUGUGCCUGUUGGGUUGCUAGCUUUCUGAGUGCUAAUUUUUAGAAACUAAAUUACUGUCAUCUUCUGACAGUAGAAAUUCAGGAGAUUAUCCUGAAUAUUUCAGUCUUCUUCGGUGGUUUGUAUUCUAUUUAAAUGUCUCUCUCUAUGCAAAUGCACGCAUGUAUAUAAGAGAGAUGAGAGGAGAGAGAGAGAGAGAGAGAGAGAGAGAGAGAGAGAGAGAGAGAGAGAGAGAGAGAGAGAAUCAACACUGUGUGCCUCUAGAGGUCAUAGGACAGAUUUGGUGACAGUCACUGUCUUCUACCAUAUUGGAGACAGGGUCUCGUGCACUUCUCUGUAUACCAGGCUAGCAGGACCCAAGUUUUUGGAGAUUCUUCUGUCUCAGUCUCCCAUCUCUCCAUAGCAACAUGGGAAUCAUGCAUUCUACCAUACCUGCUUUACACAGGUCCUGAGCAUCCAAACUCAAAUCCUCACACUUGCACGAUAAAUGUUUUACUCACUGAGAAAUCUUGACAGCCCAAAGCUUACUUUCUUCUUCUUUUGUACAUAUCCUUGCCCACACACACAAGGGUUGAUUUCUGAGCUCUGGACUUGAAGGGAUAGAAAAUAAUACAGCCUAACUCUAAUGACCCCAAGAAGUCAGAAGUUUAAAAUGCUAUCUCGCUUUGUUAGAAACUAGGUAAAAGGUCACAUUCCAGAGCCCGCCCUUUGUUUAGACCUAGCAGAAAGACCUUGAAUAGGUGAUCCUAGCCCCACAAAGUAACUGGAAAUGGGCUAAGCCUAUCUUGCUUCUGUAAACUGCUUACACCAUUACCCCUAUGCAAGAGGAGUUCACACAGCUAUAGACAUUCAAGAAAUUAGGAAACUAAUUGGUCCACUGAGUGAUUAUUUAAAAUGAUUGGCCUAAAAACUAUGGAGUGGUACAAAUCGAUUGGCUCGCAUAUUGUGGGCUCAUGCUAAGAAAUGAUUGGUUUGUGAUUCAUGGGCUUUGUCGUAAACUUAUAAAAGCUGUCACGAUUGGCUCGCAUUUCGCGGGCUCUCCAUGAUAAGAAAUGAUUGGUUUGUGAUUCUCGGGCUUUGUCAUAAACUUAUAAAAGCUGUCGCAAUUCGGCACUCGGGGUCCACAGUCCUCUACCCCUGCGCGGUGUACGGCUAUGGAACCCAGAAUUCUGGAAUAAAGAAAUCCUCAUGUUAUU